rnacentral:rRNA from 1 species
CGAGUGGCGAACGGGUGAGUAACGCGUGAGGAACCUGCCUCAAAGAGGGGGACAACAGUUGGAAACGACUGCUAAUACCGCAUAAGACCACAGCACCGCAUGGUGCGGGGGUAAAAACUCCGGUGGUAUGAGAUGGACCCGCGUCUGAUUAGCUGGUUGGUAAGGUAACGGCUUACCAAGGCGACGAUCAGUAGCCGACCUGAGAGGGUGACCGGCCACAUUGGGACUGAGACACGGCCCAA